UGGCUCUGUUGGUGCCAACCUGUGUCACAGGCGUGGGACCUCUGGAAGUCCACAGGCCGAUUAAGCAGAAGCUUUGCACAAGGGAUGCUUUGAUUUCUUGUCUCCACCUGACAGAUACCUCCCACGAAUGUUAUCUCAUGUGGAAAAGAGAACUGGACAACUAUUUCGCUAAAACAGGAAGAUCAUAGGAAUCUACCAUCCAGUUCCAGCACAGCGGUGGUCCAGGAACCCACAUGGGGAUGCCAGGGCUGCUGGGACCCACACACUGUCGGGAGCACUCACAUCCUGGGUAUCCCAGGGAUCCACCUCCUUCCUUCUCUUCCCAAAGUUGCUACCUUCCAGUGUCUGGAUUCCAAGUUGGAGAGGCUGACUAGUUGCUGCUUACCACUCCACCAUCUUCCUGGAAGGUAUCACCAAUCCAGGUCCUGUGAUAUGCUGCUGGAUUCUAUGCCACCAUCUUCUUCUCUCAAUGAAAACCUGUAGGAUUUCCACAGAUGCACUUUAUCAGAGUGAGGAAGUUCCCUGCUAUUCUUAGUUGGCUGACAGUGUUGUGGGUUGUUUUUGGUUUUGGUUUUUCAAUACUAGGUAUUGAACCCAGGGCCUUCUCACCGAGCUACAUCCCCAGAAUUUUUUCUUUUAUUUUGAGACAGGGCCUUGCUAAAUUUCUGGGUUGCCCAAACUGGGCUCAAGCUUGUGAUCCUCCUGCCUCAGUCUCUCAAAGUGCUGAGAUUCCAGGCGUGUGCCACUGCACCCAGCUAACUGACACUUUUCAAUAGGGAUCUUAAAUUUUGUCAAAUGCUAUUUCUUCAUCUACUGAAAUGACCCAGUG
rnacentral:lncRNA from 1 species